rnacentral:rRNA from 1 species
GAUGAACGCUAGCUACAGGCUUAACACAUGCAAGUCGAGGGGCAGCAUUAAAGUUUGCUUGCAAACUUUAGAUGGCGACCGGCGCACGGGUGAGUAACACGUAUCCAACCUGCCGAUAACUCGGGGAUAGCCUUUCGAAAGAAAGAUUAAUACCCGAUGGUAUAUUUUCACCGCAUGGUGAAACUAUUAAAGAAUUUCGGUUAUCGAUGGGGAUGCGUUCCAUUAGGCAGUUGGUGAGGUAACGGCUCACCAAACCUUCGAUGGAUAGGGGUUCUGAGAGGAAGGUCCCCCACAUUGGAACUGAGACACGGUCCAAACUCCUACGGGAGGCAGCAGUGAGGAAUAUUGGUCAAUGGGCGCGAGCCUGAACCAGCCAAGUAGCGUGAAGGAUGACGGCCCUAUGGGUUGUAAACUUCUUUUAUAUGGGAAUAAAGUUUGGUAUGUAUACCAUUUUGUAUGUACCAUAUGAAUAAGGAUCGGCUAACUCCGUGCCAGCAGCCGCAGUAACAC